CCUACGGGUGGCAGCAGUGAGGAAUAUUGGUCAAUGGACGGAAGUCUGAACCAGCCAUGCCGCGUGCAGGAAGACGGCUCUAUGAGUUGUAAACUGCUUUUGUACAAGGGUAAACCUGAAUACGUGUAUUCAGCUGAAAGUACUGUACGAAUAAGGAUCGGCUAACUCCGUGCCAGCAGCCGCGGUAAUACGGAGGAUCCAAGCGUUAUCCGGAUUUAUUGGGUUUAAAGGGUGCGUAGGCGGAUUGAUAAGUUAGAGGUGAAAUGUCCGAGCUUAACUCGGGAACUGCCUUUAAUACUGUGGAUCUAGAGGGGAGAUGAGGUAGGCGGAAUGUAUGGUGUAGCGGUGAAAUGCUUAGAGAGCAUGCAGAACACCGAUUGCGAAGGCAGCUUACCAGUCUAUCUCUGACGUUGAGGCACGAAAGCGUGGGGAGCAAACAGGAUUAGAUACCCUAGUAGUC
rnacentral:rRNA from 1 species